GAUGAACGCUAGCUACAGGCUUAACACAUGCAAGUCGAGGGGCAGCAUGGAAGAAGCUUGCUUCUUCUGAUGGCGACCGGCGCACGGGUGCGUAACGCGUAUCAAACCUGCCUCAUACUCGGGGAUAGCCUUGCGAAAGUAAGAUUAAUACCCGAUGUUGUUAUGUUACCGCAUGGUGAUAUAACCAAAGAUUUAUCGGUAUGGGAUGGUGAUGCGUCCGAUUAGGUAGUAGGCGGGGUAACGGCCCACCUAGCCAUCGAUCGGUAGGGGUUCUGAGAGGAAGGUCCCCCACACUGGAACUGAGACACGGUCCAGACUCCUACGGGAGGCAGCAGUGAGGAAUAUUGGUCAAUGGACGCAAGUCUGAACCAGCCAAGUAGCGUGCAGGAUGACGGCCCUCUGGGUUGUAAACUGCUUUUAGUUGGGAAUAAAAAAGAGGACGUGUCCUCUAUUGUAUGACCUCAGAAAAAGACCG
rnacentral:rRNA from 2 species